AAAGAAGAUAAAGUGUCUGCCUGACCACUAAAUUGUGGAAAAAAUUUCCAUAAUUUAGUGGUCAGGAGGAAAGUCCGAACACCAAAGGGCAGGAUACUUCCUAACGGGAAGUUCUGGUAACAGAAAGCCAGCUCCACAGAAAUAAACUACCAGAUAUCAUUUGAUGUUUGGAAAAGGUGAAAUGGUGGUGUAAGAGACCACCAGUUCUCGGUGUGAAUCGGGAAGCUAGGAAAGCCUUAUCCGGUGCAAUGCCAAAUAGGAGAAUGAGAGCCGGCCCGGCUUGUUAAGUUCUCGGGUGGGCAGCUUAAACCGGUCAGUAAUGAACCCAAUGGGUAUAGCAAUAUCCGGUUUAGAGAAAUAGACACUGAAUUGCUUAUUAGGCAAUUUACAGAAUUCGGCUUAAUAUCUUCUUUGACG
rnacentral:RNase_P_RNA from 1 species